GGUGGAGCCAAGAUGGCGGCCGAGGGGAGGGUGGAGUCGACAUGGCGCCGAGCGGAGGCGGGAACUAUUAUGGCGGCUGAAGGGAACCUCGAGGCCGCGGGCCCGGCCUCCGACAGCGCGGCGCUGACGGCAGGACGGCCUAAGGAUGUCUAGAGCAACAAAGAGGCCUAAGCGCACCCGUGGAGCGCAGUGAGAGAAAACAGAGGAAUGUUGAAGCAGCAGUAUUGAAACACACUAACAAGGAGCCAUCCAUCUGUGAGUGAACACAACAUAGCACAGAGCCAUCUGUGCGGUGGUCUCUAACAGCAGCACGAGGGGACAUCUGGGAGCAGCCUCUGGGCACGGGAAAGAGAGCUCUAUGCGAAGGUGGAACCGUUCCAGCCCACAUUGGCAGCAUUUAUGUCGAAGUAGUUGAUGUACACCCUGCAGAAAAGGCAUAGGAAUACACAAAAAAAAGGACUCUUAUUAACUGGUUUGUGUGAGCAAUGAGUGAGACAAGGCUACAGGACAGGGUAGAGUGCCUCCUGCCUCCCAGAAACAAGUUUUUACUGAAACCUGGUUAACGUGUGUGACUGAGCCUCCAUCAGCUGAUAUCCCUGGAGCCUCUGGUACUGCACUUUCUAUCAAAUACAAGCUCUUCUUCAGUUGAGAGCAACUCAAGCACUUUUUGUGUAGCAGCCCAUCCAGAAUUCCAGAGACCAACCUCUUGUUUCAGAGCGCUGCAGUCUCGUGCACCAGACCAACACUCAGUGCAGUGGGCCCUGUACACUGGCCCCGUGGUUCUUCCUUCCAACAUGGGGAUGUGAGUAGCAGCACGCUGGUUCUCCUGCCUGUCACUGCUGCAUGCGGGCACUCCCCAGAGCUCUGCCAGUGCACGAGGGAGCUGUGUGCGGCCUGCUAGUUCCUACUUGCCUGUGAGCUCCAGCCUGCUACUGCUCCUCCCUUGUGCUUUCAGGCCAUGAGGAAACAUCACACCCCAGGAGUGAAUGAAUCUGCACUGUGAGCUCUACCACUUGCCAAUGCUCAGGUAUUCUUCCCUAUGGGAAGCCAUUUACCCAUCAGGAACUCUCAAGAGAAAGAUGCAGGCAACAAACUUUUAACUGGACAUGAAGCGCUGCAAGAGAUUACUUUGUAUUCUUCUAAGCACUUAUUCCUGGCUUUUUACAUUUCCAAAUGAAGUUUCCAAAGCAGCUUCAGAGCAACAGAUGAAAGGGAUCGCAUCCCAGCCCUACCUGUCUGCAGAUACAUGCAAGUGCUUCGCGAUCAUAUCGCACAGGAGCUUGGUGUAGGUCUUGUUCUGCUGCCCUCCGAUUUUGCCGAUGCUGUAGAGGCUGCAGAGAGCGCAGGGAUCCGUGGAGCCGCCGAAGGACAUCAUCUGAUCAGGUACGAUGUGCACAGCUAUGUACUGCAAUAAAAAAAAGCAGGCCGAGGAUAA